ensembl:lncRNA
CAGAGGGGGUGGAGGAGCAGAAGAGAGAGAGAGAUGCUUCAAUGUGGAAAGUCAGAGAAAAGCUGAGUGUGGCAGAAGAAAGUUGACGUGGUGUAACUACAGCAAGGCCCUUCCUUUCUCCGUGAGAGGGGAGAGACUGAGCGGGAUACGAUAGGAAAUGUUGUAUUGGGGAAACGGGAGCCUUUGACUAAGCAUGCACGUUUACUGCUGCCAGGUUGCACAGGUGUAUUAACGGCUACAUCCACAUGCAUUCACAGCCGCAUAGGAACCGCUGAUGGGAUACUGACAAGUUUGACUGUAACUCCGCGCACACGUCCCACUCCCACACAAACACGAGUGCUCGUAUUUAGCUAUACGCUGAAAUGUACACGCUUUCUGCACCCUCCCACGUGAAAAGGCGAACAGAACAGCGCAAGAUCCCUGUGUAACAGCAUCCAGCCCUGUGGACUUGUUAAAACUGGGACACUGGAUUCCACCGGGACUCACCUCGAGGACAGGACGGAUCAGAGUUUCCGACGUUAAGACAUCAACGUCCUAACUGGCGAUCUGGAUAGAGAGAUUCCUCGUCCUCAUCUAUCCUGAAUGAAACCCUCUUAAGGUGGAUGCUAAGCAUUAAAAUUGCAUGUCCCAGUGGAGAGCUGCCAUACCAAGUAGCCAACCCGCAGCAAUAAAUCAACACUAGAGGACUUUUAUUUCUUCAUUAUCGCUUCCUGCAGCAACAACAAAGGAACAGGCAUGUUCACAGGCCUGUUGACCUGCGGAUGUGCUUCAUAGGAUUCUAUUUUUGGAGCCUCAUUGGUUUUACAGAUUAACUGCCCUCAAAUAUGGCCCCAAUCCGUUUGUUGCUCCACUAGUUUGACUGCUGCCGGAGGUUGUGUAUAUUCAUGCUUCAGAACGCCCCACUGUGUGACAGUUUAGUCAUCUGAAGGGGCACUGCUUCUUUUUGAAAGCAGUUUGAGUUCACUUUUUUCACACUCUUGCAGAGGAACAAACACUUUGCUGUAUGUAAUGACAGCUGGAAAGACUUUUAAGUUAUUCUUGUCAACUCCUAACUAAUUGCCCUCUUUCAUUGUGUAACUGAGGAAAGAUUGACAUCUGAAGCUUUUACACCGUUGCCAAGUCAGUGUGCUUAGAUUAGUGCGUCAUAAUAUUUUAUUGAAAGAGUUUUUCAGUCACACUACAGUCACACUGAAUUUCCAUUGCACGUUGUUUUUAUUAAACUGUCUAGCACUAAUCGAGAUCUUUCAUCGUCAGAUUCGAGAUUUUCAUAGUGCGUGAAAGCAAAAGUAGCUACCAUUAGCAAAUACGAACUGACGCGGCCAUGUGAAAUGGAAGACACAGGCCAAAGCCUGAACCAUCAAGUCCUUAAAGAAUUGUUUAUGACAUGUGAAGAGAGGACAUUUUUGAAUUAUCCAACGUCACUCCAGCUGAACAUUUCACAGGACAAAGCUACCACUGCUUGUUUCACUCUGACAUAAAUCUGGCAUGCUUUGUUGGCCCCAGGGCCAAGCCCUAUAACAAGAGAAAAAUUAAAGAAUAGGAUUAAAGAUGGAUUAUCACUGAAAUACUAAAGCCAGCAAAGCAGCUGCCUUUGCAUACUGUAAGCCCAUUGGACUCUUCAGGGAGAAGCUCUGUUGACCGAUUUGUAGAUUGCAUUUGGUUGUUGAUGUGGUCACCUAUUGGGUGGCUGGUAUUAAAAAGGAAAGGAUGGAGAAUCUAGAUGAGCUGGAGCACCCUCUUCUGGGAGAAAGUGCCAAUAACAACUGGGGACCAGGGCCGGGGCUGGGACCUGGAACUGGACAGGCCCCAGGUGGGCUGUUCAAGGGAAUCUUGGUUAAGUGUGAGGAGGACAGGGCCUACCCUCCAUUAACAUGGAGGGGCUAUUGUGGACAUCCCCCUGAGCUUCAGCAACAGCAGCUACUGGAUCCUUGCUCCUUACCAUGCACACUGGAGUCCUUUUACCCAGCAGCCCCCAUUUGGGGCCACACAGAUGCCCUGCUCAACAAAGACUACUUGGAGACCACGUUUGUGGACAUUCGGCCAGGUUCAACACUGGAGAGGAAGCUGCUGGCUGAGACGCAAGACUUCCACAGUGCAUCCUACAGCAUGGACGAUGAGGAUGACCUGCUCCCUGACUCUGACGUAAGCAGUGUUGGACAAGUUACUUUGAAAAAGUAAUUAAUUAUAGUUACUAGUUACUUUUUCAAAAAAGUAACUGAGUUAGUAACUGAGUUACAAGGUUCUACAAGUAAUUAAUUACUUGAAAAGUAACUAUUGCGUUACUUAAAAAAAAA